AUGCCCCCAACGAGUUCCCAAAUGGCAGCCAUAUGCGUUGAAGGGAGUGACCCACAAAAUUGCUUUGACAGGGGUGUUGUUGUAAAUGUUGACACCGUCGUUGUCGGCGAGUCACGCGGAGAUCGAAUUGGCAAAAGAAUUGUGCUUCCACGUACAUUUCCUGGUGGUGAUCGCGACAUGCAGCGGAGGUUCUUGGAUGCUAUGGCAAUAGUGCAGCGGUGGGGUAAACCGGAUUAUUUUAUCACCAUGACUUGCAACCCCUAUUGGGAGGAGAUAACCGAGAAACUGUUGCCUGGACAACUGCCACAGGACCGUCCAGACCUGGUGGCAAGAGUAUACAAGGCUAAACAGCGAGAUAUGAUGGACUUACUAACUAAGGGUAAGCAUUUCGGAGAAGUCGCAGCCUAUGUACAUGUAACUGAGUUUCAGAAGCGAGGUCUCCCUCAUGAGCAUAUACUUCUAAUCAUGAAGGCAAAAAGCAAGUUAGCGACACCAGAUGACUAUGAUCGAGUGAUAUGUGCAAAGAUACCGGACAAAGAGAAACACCCCAUUCUACAUGAUCUGGUCGUCAAACACAUG
rnacentral:rRNA from 1 species